CUUGACGACCAUAGAGCGUUGGAACCACCUGAUCCCAUCCCGAACUCAGUAGUGAAACGAUGCAUCGCCGAUGGUAGUGUGGAGUUUCUCCAUGUGAGAGUAGGUCAUCGUCAAG
rnacentral:rRNA from 1 species